rnacentral:rRNA from 1 species
UACAGAGGUCUCAAGCGUUGUUCGGAUUCAUUGGGCGUAAAGGGUGCGUAGGUGGCGCGGUAAGUCGGGUGUGAAAUUUCGGAGCUUAACUCCGAAACUGCAUUCGAUACUGCCGUGCUUGAGGACUGGAGAGGAGACUGGAAUUUACGGUGUAGCGGUGAAAUGCGUAGAUAUCUGGAGGAACACCGGUGGCGAAGGCGGCAUCCUGGACCAACACUGACACUGAGGAGCGAAAGCCAGGGGAGCAACGGG